rnacentral:rRNA from 1 species
AGAAUCAACGCUGGCGGCGUGCCUAACACAUGCAAGUCGCACGAGAAAGGGUAGCAAUACCUGAGUACAGUGGCGCACGGGUGAGUAACACGUGAAUAAUCUACCUCCGAGUGGGGAAUAACUGAGAGAAAUCUUAGCUAAUACCGCAUAACACUUACGAGUCAAAGCAGCAAUGCGCUUGGAGAGGAGUUCGCGGCAGAUUAGUUAGUUGGCGGGGUAAUGGCCCACCAAGACGAUGAUCUGUAUCCGGCCUGAGAGGGCGCACGGACACACUGGAACUGAAACACGGUCCAGACUCCUACGGGAGGCAGCAGUGGGGAAUUUUGCGCAAUGGGGGAAACCCUGACGCAGCAACGCCGCGUGGAGGAUGAAAUAUCUUGGUAUGUAAACUCCUUUCGAUGGGGAAGAUUAUGACGGUACCAUAGAGAAGCCCGGCUAACUUCGCGCCAGCAGCCGCGGUAA